UGCGUAGGCGGAAAAUUAAGUCAGUGAUGAAAUCCUGCAGCUUAACUGUAGAACUGUUAUUGAUACUGAUUUUCUUGAAUUCAGUUGAGGUAGGCGGAAUGUGUAAUGUAGCGGUGAAAUGCUUAGAUACUACACAGAACACCGAUUGCGAAGGCAGCUUACUAAGCUGAUAUUGACGCUGAGGCACGAAAGCGUGGGGAGCGAACAGGAUUAGAUACCCUGGUAGUCC
rnacentral:rRNA from 1 species